UACGGGGGGAGCAAGCGUUGUUCGGAUUUACUGGGCGUAAAGGGCGCGUAGGCGGCCACUGCAAGUCAGUUGUGAAAUCUCCGGGCUUAACCCGGAAAGGUCAACUGAUACUGCAGGGCUAGAGUGCAGAAGGGGCAACUGGAAUUCUCGGUGUAGCGGUGAAAUGCGUAGAUAUCGAGAGGAACACCUGCGGCGAAGGCGGGUAGCUGGGCCGACACUGACGCUGAGGCGCGAAAGCUAGGGGAGCGAACGGG
rnacentral:rRNA from 1 species